ACAGCAGUAGCCGCGGGAACACGGAGGGAGCUAGCGUUGUUCGGAAUUACUGGGCGUAAGGCGCGCGUAAGCGGUUACUCAAGUCAGAGGUGAAAGCCCGGGGCUCAACUCCGGGACUGCCUUUGAAACUAGGUGACUAGAAUCUUGGAGAGGUCAGUGGAAUUCCGAGUGUAGAGGUGAAAUUCGUAGAUAUUCGGAAGAACACCAGUGGCGAAGGCGACUGACUGGACAAGUAUUGACGCUGAGGUGCGAAAGCGUGGGGAGCAAACAGGAUUAGAUACCCCCGUAGUCCCUGUCUCUUAUAA
rnacentral:rRNA from 1 species